GAUGAACGCUGGCGGCGUGCCUAAUACAUGCAAGUCGAGCGAAUGGAUUAAGAGCUUGCUCUUAUGAAGUUAGCGGCGGACGGGUGAGUAACACGUGGGUAACCUGCCCAUAAGACUGGGAUAACUCCGGGAAACCGGGGCUAAUACCGGAUAACAUUUUGAACCGCAUGGUUCGAAAUUGAAAGGCGGCUUCGGCUGUCACUUAUGGAUGGGCCCGCGUCGCAUUAGCUAGUUGGUGAGGUAACGGCACACCAAGGCAACGAUGCGUAGCCGACCUGAGAGGGUGAUCGGCCACACUGGGACUGAGACACGGCCCAGACUCCUACGGGAGGCAGCAGUAGGGAAUCUUCCGCAAUGGACGAAAGUCUGACGGAGCAACGCCGCGUGAGUGAUGAAGGCUUUCGGGUCGUAAAACUCUGUUGUUAGGGAAGAACAAGUGCUAGUUGAAUAAGCUGGCACCUUGACGGUACCUAACCAGAAAGCCACGGCUAACUACGUGCCAGCCGCCGCAGUAAUAC
rnacentral:rRNA from 1 species